GAUGAACGCUAGCGGCAGGCCUAAUACAUGCAAGUCGGACGGGAUCCAUCGGAGAGCUUGCUCGAAGAUGGUGAGAGUGGCGCACGGGUGCGUAACGCGUGAGCAACCUACCUCUAUCAGGGGGAUAGCCUCUCGAAAGAGAGAUUAACACCGCAUAAUAUAAUCUUCCGGCAUCGUUAGAUUAUUAAAUAUUUAUAGGAUAGAGAUGGGCUCGCGUGACAUUAGCUAGUUGGUAAGGUAACGGCUUACCAAGGCGACGAUGUCUAGGGGCUCUGAGAGGAGAAUCCCCCACACUGGUACUGAGACACGGACCAGUCUCCUACGGGAGGCAGCAGUAAGGAAUAUUGGUCAAUGGGCGGAAGCCUGAACCAGCCAUGCCGCGUGCAGGACGACUGCCCUAUGGGUUGUAAACUGCUUUUGUCCAGGAAUAAACCUAAAUACGUGUAUUUAGCUGAAUGUACUGGAAGAAUAAGGAUCGGCUAACUCCGUGCCAGCCGCCGCUGUAAAAC
rnacentral:rRNA from 1 species